GACGAACGCUGGCGGCGUGCUUAACACAUGCAAGUCGAACGAUGAACCCGGAGCUUGCUCCGGCGGAUUAGUGGCGAACGGGUGAGUAACACGUGAGUAACCUGCCCUUGACUCUGGGAUAACUGCGGGAAACUGUAGCUAAUACCGGAUACAACCCUCGGCGGCAUCGCCAGGGGGUGGAAAGAACUUCGGUCAAGGAUGGACUCGCGGCCUAUCGGCUAGUUGGUGAGGUAACGGCUCACCAAGGCGACGACGGGUAGCCGGCCUGAGAGGGUGACCGGCCACACUGGGACUGAGACACGGCCCAGACUCCUACGGGAGGCAGCAGUGGGGAAUAUUGCACAAUGGGCGCAAGCCUGAUGCAGCAACGCCGCGUGAGGGAUGACGGCCUUCGGGUUGUAAACCUCUUUUAGUAGGGAAGAAGCGAAAGUGACGGUACCUGCAGAAAAAGCACCGGCUAACUACGUGCCAGCCGCCGCCGUAA
rnacentral:rRNA from 1 species